CCAGUGAAUGUCAAAUGCCAGAACAGACACAAAGCCUGAUUUAUUGGUUAUAUCGCCAUUCCACCAAACACUUGCAGCAAACAACCCCCUACUACAAUACACUCUGCUGCUGGAUCUUGGGAGAGUCAAAUAGAGCAUUAUGCAACAGUCCUGAACGUGAAAUUUGGAACCACCGUAGACUAGCAGGCAGCAAAGGCCCUCGUUUUUGAAGCAGAAGGUCAUGAGUUAUACCCUGCUGCCGCAUGACUGUGAAAUGAGCAGUGAGUAUAUAUAUGUGUAUGAUUGUCCACAGAUUAUUUAUUUGUAAAAUACAGGGCCACUGAAUAGCCCUCAGAUGGUAACAACUUUCAGUCACUACAGAUAGGGCUGGAUUCGAAUUGGUACCCUGCAGCUGAGAAACUGGAUAGCACAUCACCAGUCCUUUGAGCCAGGCUGUCUCCCAUCUUACCAACACCCAACUCCCUCCACUUAGGGCUAAGCCAUUGAAGACCAUCCCCACAUCCUCUUCUCAAGUGCCACAUUGCAGCAACCUGUCUUCUGACCAAGGAGAGCUGGGUGGGACUGUUCGGCCCCACUAAAGCUCUCAGAUUGGCCAGACACAUUGCAGCAGACCAAUACGGGGUACUCUUGCCCUAAAUAGCCAAGUCCCCUAUGUUGCUUUCACAUGGCAGUGCAGGGCACCAGCCAAGGGGUCAGGAGCUUGGCCUGGUUUGAAAAAUACCAUUUACGUUUAAAAUAAACAGCGCUGGCUUUCAAGAGCAGUAACCUAGAUCUCCUUCCCAGCUUGGAUGGACAUGGAGCUUACUGAUCUCUAAGCACACUGACUACACAGGGCCGGGAAGGGGAGGUUGGCCACCUUUGUGAGGGAGAAGAGACUGAGGGAGAAUGAGAGACUGAAGAAUAACCUCCCUUAGACCCAGUUCAGAAAAACAUCCCUGUUCAAGGUAUCAAAGGCUGGAAGGGUUUGCCUUCACCUCUGUCCUUCUGGACUUGAAAGAAUUUGCUAGUUUUUUUUAUGUAAUUGGAUUGUGCCCUACACCAUUAACAACCCCCCUCUGGAGGGACGUCGUUUUCUCGGGGAAGACCGAGUCACAGACCUUUGCUGCUGCAGUUCUCUCCCUGAAGAGCUAACGUGAACCUUCAGCCCUUUUGCACGGUAAAUUAAAAGCAGCACUACACUCUGAAAGCUGUGUCAACCGCUUCAUUUAGCACAAGUGUUAUGUUAACUAACAGCCCUAUUCCACAGGGGCCUUUGGCCUCACAGAAGCCUAAUUUCCAUGUAAUUUACAUUGGACAGUCGCAGAAUGCACCUCCUAGGCUCU